rnacentral:rRNA from 1 species
UUAGGAAUCUUCGGCAAUGGGCGAAAGCCUGACCGAGCGAUACCGCUUGAAGGACGAAGCCCCUCGGGGUGUAAACUUCUGAACUCGGGACGAUGGUGACGGUACCGAGGUAAUAGCACCGGCUAACUCCGUGCCAGCAGCCGCGGUAAUACGGAGGGUGCGAGCGUUACCCGGAUUUACUGGGCGUAAAGGGCGUGUAGGCGGUCCCUCAAGUCCGAUGCUAAAGACCGGGGCUCAACCCCGGGGGUGCGUUGGAUACUGUCGGGCUAGACGGUCGGAGGGGGCAGCGGAAUUUCCGGAGUAGCGGUGAAAUGCGCAGAUACCGGAAGGAACGCCGAUAGCGAAGGCAGCUGCCUGGACGACUUGUGACGCUGAGGCGCGAAAGCGUGGGGAGCAAACCGG